UUCUACCAAUUAAUCUCAUCUCAUAAUACUUGAGAUUUUCUUCUUUAUCCACCAUGGGUAUAUUUAUAAUUAGUGUGCUCGUACCGGAUACCUGUGAAAUACAUUUUUUUUUUAUGUAUUAUUAUUUUACGGGCAUUUUAGAUCUGAGUUCCGCACGUGUUUUAUGUUUUAUUUAGACACAUUAUGCCAUAGAAUUUUACAUCUAUAAUACAGCGUUAUACCAGAUUGAUACAGGAAAUGCAAAGUAUAUGUAUAUAGCGUACAGAGGGAGGAACUUCUCUCUGCAGUUUACCUGUAUAACUAAGGUACCUUUAAGUAAUUGCUUUUGCAUUCAACUUGAUGAUGAGGCUAGAACGAUUCGUCGAGACUGCUGCAGUCCGUACAUACCUUAUACACACAGAUAUACACGUAUAUAUACGAUUCCGUAAGCUACUGCGACUUCAGUGGCUCUCAAUUUGAAAGUGAAGAAAAAAAAUUGCAGGAGUGGACGAAGUGAAAAUUGACUAAAGAACUGAACCGAAUAACGAUCCCAUGGUAUACAAAUUAACAAGCAAAUAAUCAACUUGUACAGCGUACGAUCAACGAUUUUUCAUAAUGGUUCUUACAAUAAUUUUAUUCCAUUGUAUUUUAUUUAUUGGUUUAGAAAAAAAGUUUUCUUCAUUUUGACGGAAUAUUUUUUAUUUAAGAAAUUGAGUAAUUAGUUUUUCUCGUUAUUCGAAGGAAUCGAAGAAUAGUUACUUCGAAUACGUGUCAUGAGAAAAGAAGAAAAGAAAUUUGAAAAAAAGAAGAUCUAACAUUGAUCAAAUUGAAGAUUAUUUCGCGCGUAAAUUAAGAUUGAUAUAUUAUUCAUAUUCAAAAUAUCACAGCGUGUUGAAUAUAAUUAUAUCCUCGCAGUUGAGUGUAAACAGCUCUUUAGCUCUGGUUAAGUAAUUAUAUAUAUUUCUAAAGCAUCUGAGCAGUAGCAACAGCAGCAGUAGGAGCAGCAUUAUAGCGGGUAGGUAUACUGAAACGUAGGUAAAAGUAAGAGAAAGAGAACAAGAAAAAAAAAAAAAAAAUGAAGAAAGGAAGAAAAAACGUGACUGCUAGGGAAAUGAAUACUUUUUCAUUCACGGAGUUCUUUUAACCAUACUGUACGUAUAUAAUAUACAGACGUACGCAUGCACGUACACAUUACUUGCGGAAACACACCACUACGAAAGAGUAAGAAUUAUAAAAACUCCUUUAUAAUGUGCGGCAGUAAAAAAAGGUUGAGAUUAAGAUUGAGAUUGAGAUCAAGAUUGAGAUUAAUACGUGGAAAAUUAAAGUUACAUACUGUACACCCUCGUAUCGGGCUUUAAACACCGGCGUCAAUAAAUCGAGGAUCGUCCGUACGAAAGGAAACAGACGAAUGCCUUUAUCAAAAAAUAUAAAAUACGGUGGACGCGACGAUCUUGCACUCAUAAGGGUAUGAGCUCGAGGCUCAAGAUGGAUGAAAUUGUAGGAGCACGCGACCUCACGUCUUAUAAUACCAACGGUCGUAGCGGGUGAUGUCAAGGACCGCGAAAAAGGUAUUUUUCCACAUAAACUCCUUGGAUUCUAACAGCCGGAAAAUUCCCUUAACGCGCUUCUGGGUACCCAAAGCUGGUGGCUACUGGAGGGGUCUUCGCCUAAUGGGCGCAAAGUUAUAGUCGACCCCGAGGUCGACCCAUAUUUCGGCUACCGUGACGAGAAAAAAAAAGGACAAGAUCGGUGGAGCAUUGUUUUUAUUAGUUUGUAACGUACGUACGUACAUGAUUUCAAGUAUUCGAUGAAGUCGGAUACAUAUAACAAUUUUGCAAAACUCGUUAUACGUCAAUUAAGUUAAUAGGUACCCACAUUUAUUUUUCUCCAAUCAACUUUGACCGUAUUCAUCUUCGAUGACGAUUCGUUCGUUUUUCAUUAAAUUCUUCAGGGUAAUCCGCGGUCUGCGGCUAUGGAAUCAAAAGCUAUACGAAGAAAAGGAAUAAAGAAAGGAAAAGAGAGCAAAAGUAAGGUAGAAGUGGACUGCAAUUACACUCGAGGUGGUUGGUGCGAUCUGAAUUCUCUUUUGAAUUUCUUACACGGCAUAGUUCGCCCUCUUUGUCCCGGAAAUCGCGUCACACCCCCACCACCUUAACCGCCGCCUCCUCUAUGUACCUACCUACCUACCUACCUACCUACCAUUUUCUGCAGUUGGUUUCCUUCGAGCAAGUUCAACGUUCAAACUUCCACGUUUCCACCCUCCGCGUUGCGGUAUAGUACCCGUAACGGAUUGAAUUUCAAGGCACUUUUAUACAACGAAAUGAACGAGCAACGAUUUUAAUAAGACCGCCGCGCGCGCCCGUUAUAAGAACGAUUUGCCAUAUUGCCGUUUUAUGACAGGAUCGUGUCGGAAUCGAUCAACGCCAGAACUAUAACUCACCCCAUCCUGCGGUACGUUUAUUUGCUUUUCUUUUUGUUUCUUAUUAAUUGAGUUUCCUUUUUCAUUCUUUCUUUCGUUUUAAUUCUCUGCUGUUCUUUUAUUUUCGAGCGUUUCUUACAUCCUCAUCCAUCUCCUGUACCCACAUACUGCAUUAAUAUUCCAAUUAAAUCGACGCCUCGGUACCUACAUACAUAUAUACGUACGUAUCGAAACAACACGACGCCGUAUGAGAAAGCUCGCGCAAUAUUCCCUGCUUCGACCAUAGGACACGCUGCACAACUUAUUAUUAUACACAUGUUUUAUCACCAUCUACUACGCAAAGGAUAAAACGGAAGAAAAGAAGAAAAAAAAAAAGAGAAUAAGUAAAUGAAUAUAAAAGGAGAAUAAAAUAAGAGCUGGCGCGACUCGGGAGUAAUAAAAUCGGUGUUGUAAUCCUAGAUCUGCAUUGAGACACAACAGCCUAUAUGUUAUAACCUAGGCUACUUUUACUCACAGCAGAUAUCAGGUUUUAUCUAAUGGGUAGUCUCCUACUUUUUUUGUAUUCCUUCUUUUUACACCACUUCCUGAUUUAGCGAGGGAAGUUAUUUUGAUCACUCCUAUACCUGGUUGAUGUGUAAGGUUGAGUUUUCAGAAGACAUUCAUUUGUGAGGUCUAGAAAAUUGAAUUCAAUUAUGUUUUUGAUAAGUUAUUUGGUAACAUAAUACGAUUGGAUCUAAUCAAAAUUUGGAUUCGCUGAAUUCAAUACUUUUUGAGUUACAGUUGGUCAAUUUUUAUGCUUGGGCUUUGCUCUGAACGGCGCAAAGACGAUUUUCCAACCAAAACUAUCGUGAAAGUUUUCACAAGAUACCGAAAUAAAGCUAAAUAGAUUCGAGUGAUCUCAAAACGGUCAAUUGCGAACGUGCGAUUCGAUAUUCGGUCAUCGUAGCAUCUCGAAGGUAGAAACUUCUUUUCCGAAGCAACGGCAGUAUGGCUGCGACAGCCGAAGCGACGUCGUCAGAAGCGACAUCGAUGGCAGUACGCACAUCCUUGAAAAAGGAGAAGACAAAGCUGUAGAGGAGAUGGAGAGAAAAGGCAUACAUUGGGAUUUGUACUUGACAGACGUCGAAGUUACCCAGUUCUUCGCGAUACGGUUCAACUUUCAACAACACUAUAUGCCUACGUUGUGCUGAAAAAUUCGUAUACAGGCUCUUGAAUCGUCAUCGAGGUGCCUGGUUCAUCACAUUACCUAUUCAACUUCCGACCACGAAGGACAGGACUUGCAUGGCAUUGCACAAUACGUUUACAGGUGAUUAUAAAAAUAUAUCAUCAAAAUAUAUUCAAUACAUUAUAUUAUAACAACACAUUGACAGCAAUAUAUUGACAUAUAAUAUAUUAUAACAUAUAAUUAAUAGAUCAACGUAGAAUAUAAUAUUUGUAAUAAUAUAUUCUUAUAAGUAUCUCAUUAUUAAUCAGUCUUCCGUAUGUUUCAGGUUCUCGGGUAUGCUGCCACCACAGUUGUAGCCCGGACUCCCCCUGUUUAUCGGGGGGAGUCCACUUACUGUCCCCUGGGACAGCGCGGCCUCCCACCGCCCCCGGGGUCCCAGGGGACCCAGUCCCCGAGGACAUGUCUUCGGGGAUGCGGUAUCCCCGCUGGAGGGGAUGCCAU